CAACGCGAAGAACCUUACCAGGUCUUGACAUCCUCUGACAACCCUAGAGAUAGGGCUUCUCCUUCGGGAGCAGAGUGACAGGUGGUGCAUGGUUGUCGUCAGCUCGUGUCGUGAGAUGUUGGGUUAAGUCCCGCAACGAGCGCAACCCUUGAUCUUAGUUGCCAUCAUUUAGUUGGGCACUCUAAGGUGACUGCCGGUGACAAACCGGAGGAAGGUGGGGAUGACGUCAAAUCAUCAUGCCCCUUAUGACCUGGGCUACACACGUGCUACAAUGGACGGUACAAAGAGCUGCAAGACCGCGAGGUGGAGCUAAUCUCAUAAAACCGUUCUCAGUUCGGAUUGUAGGCUGCAACUCGCCUACAUGAAGCUGGAAUCGCUAGUAAUCGCGGAUCAGCAUGCCGCGGUGAAUACGUUCCCGGGCCUUGUACACACCGCCCGUCACACCACGAGAGUUUGUAACACCCGAAGUCGGUGGGGUAACCUUUUGGAGCCAGCCGCCUUAUUGG
rnacentral:rRNA from 1 species